rnacentral:rRNA from 1 species
GACGAACGCUGGCGGCGUGCUUAACACAUGCAAGUCGAACGGAAAGGCCCUGCUUUUGUGGGGUGCUCGAGUGGCGAACGGGUGAGUAACACGUGAGUAACCUGCCCUUGACUUUGGGAUAACUUCAGGAAACUGGGGCUAAUACCUGAUAGAAGCUCCUUCUGCAUGGUGGGGGUUGGAAAGGUACGGUGGUUGGGGAUGGUCUCGCGGCUUAUCAGCUUGUUGGUGGGGUAGUGGGUUACCAAGGCUUUGACGGGUAGCCGGCCUGCGAGGGUGACCGGCCCCAUUGGGACUGGGAUACGGCCCAGACUCCUACGGGAGGCAGGAGUGGAGAAUAUUGCACAAAGGGCGGAAGCCUGAUGCAGCAACGCCGCGUGCGGGAUGACGGCCUUCGGGUUGUAAACCGCUUUCGCCUAUGACGAAGCGUGAGUGACGGAAAUGGGUAAAGAAGCACCGGCUAACUACGU